rnacentral:misc_RNA from 1 species
AGAAGUAAAAGUCGUAACAAGGUUUCCGUAGGUGAACCUGCGGAAGGAUCAUUAAUGAGUUGUCAUGGGGUUCGAUGCUGGCAGCCAAUUUUUGGAUGCAUGUGCUUGCCCUAACAAUCAUCUUCCAAACACCUGUGCACAUUUUUGAGGGAGUCUUGAGUUGGUUGCCGCUCUUGGGUGAUUUUCUCACAUUCCCUUAAAUCAUUAUACGCUAUUAACAAUGUUGAACGUGCUCUGUGCCGCAAGGCCAUUAAUAUAAUACAACUUUUAACAACGGAUCUCUUGGCUCUC